rnacentral:rRNA from 1 species
GGGCCCGCACAAGCGGUGGAGCAUGUGGUUUAAUUCGAUGAUACGCGAGGAACCUUACCAGGGCUUAAAUGGGAGAUGACAGGGGCAGAGACGCCCUUUUCUUCGGACAUCUUUCAAGGUGCUGCAUGGUUGUCGUCAGCUCGUGCCGUGAGGUGUCAGGUUAAGUCCUAUAACGAGCGCAACCCCUACCGUUAGUUGCCAGCGAUUCAAGUCGGGGACUCUAACGGGACUGCCGGUGCAAACCGCGAGGAAGGUGGGGACGACGUCAAAUCAUCACGGCCCUUACGUCCUGGGCUACACACCGUGCUACAAUGGUCGGUACAGAGGGAAGCUACCCCGCAAGGGGAUGCGGAUCUAUAAAACCGAUCUCAGUUCGGAUCGGGGUCUGCAACUCGACCCCGUGAAGCUGGAAUCGCUAGUAA